UUGAUCAUGGCUCAGGACGAACGCUGGCGGCGUGCCUAAUACAUGCAAGUCGAGCGAGCAGAACCAGCAGAUUUACUUCGGUAAUGACGCUGGGGACGCGAGCGGCGGAUGGGUGAGUAACACGUGGGGAACCUGCCCCAUAGUCUGGGAUACCACUUGGAAACAGGUGCUAAUACCGGAUAAGAAAGCAGAUCGCAUGAUCAGCUUAUAAAAGGCGGCGUAAGCUGUCGCUAUGGGAUGGCCCCGCGGUGCAUUAGCUAGUUGGUAAGGUAACGGCUUACCAAGGCAAUGAUGCAUAGCCGAGUUGAGAGACUGAUCGGCCACAUUGGGACUGAGACACGGCCCAAACUCCUACGGGAGGCAGCAGUAGGGAAUCUUCCACAAUGGACGCAAGUCUGAUGGAGCAACGCCGCGUGAGUGAAGAAGGUUUUCGGAUCGUAAAGCUCUGUUGUUGGUGAAGAAGGAUAGAGGUAGUAACUGGCCUUUAUUUGACGGUAAUCAACCAGAAAGUCACGGCUAACUACGUGCCAGCAGCCGCGGUAAUACGUAGGUGGCAAGCGUUGUCCGGAUUUAUUGGGCGUAAAGCGAGCGCAGGCGGAAGAAUAAGUCUGAUGUGAAAGCCCUCGGCUUAACCGAGGAACUGCAUCGGAAACUGUUUUUCUUGAGUGCAGAAGAGGAGAGUGGAAUUCCAUGUGUAGCGGUGGAAUGCGUAGAUAUAUGGAAGAACACCAGUGGCGAAGGCGACUCUCUGGUCUGCAACUGACGCUGAGGCUCGAAAGCAUGGGUAGCGAACAGGAUUAGAUACCCUGGUAGUCCAUGCCGUAAACGAUGAGUGCUAAGUGUUGGGAGGUUUCCGCCUCUCAGUGCUGCAGCUAACGCAUUAAGCACUCCGCCUGGGGAGUACGACCGCAAGGUUGAAACUCAAAGGAAUUGACGGGGGCCCGCACAAGCGGUGGAGCAUGUGGUUUAAUU
rnacentral:rRNA from 1 species